CCUACGGGGUGCAGCAGUGAGGAAUAUUGGUCAAUGGACGCAAGUCUGAACCAGCCAUGCCGCGUGAAGGAAGAAGGCUUUCGGGUUGUAAACUUCUUUUAAGGGGGAAGAGCAGAAGACGGUACCCAUUGAAUAAGCCACGGCUAACUACGUGCCAGCUGCCGCGGUAAAACGUAGGUGGCAAGCGUUGUCAGCAUCUACUGGGAGUAUAGGGCGUGCAGCCGGAGAGGCAAGUCAGAUGUGAAAUCCGCGGGCUCAACUCUCGAACUGCAUUUGAAACUGCUUCCCUUGAGUGUCGGAGAGGUAAUCGGAAUUCUUGGUGUAGGGGUAAAAUCCGUAGAGAUCAAGAGGAAUACUCAUUGCGAAGGCGACCUGCUAGAACAUAACUGACGCUGAUGCGCGAAAGCGUGGGGAGCAAACAGGAUUAGAUACCCUUGUAGUC
rnacentral:rRNA from 1 species